rnacentral:rRNA from 1 species
UACGAAGGGGGCUAGCGUUGCUCGGAAUCACUGGGCGUAAAGCGCACGUAGGCGGAUUCCUAAGUCGGGGGUGAAAUCCUGGAGCUCAACUCCAGAACUGCCUUCGAUACUGGGAAUCUUGAGUCCGGGAGAGGUGAGUGGAACUGCGAGUGUAGAGGUGAAAUUCGUAGAUAUUCGCAAGAACACCAGUGGCGAAGGCGGCUCACUGGUCCGGUACUGACGCUGAGGUGCGAAAGCGUGGGGAGCAAACAGG